UUUUCUCUCUAAAUACAUUGAUCUUCAUAAUGCCCAUAGAAUCAAAACAAAGUGUAUUGUCCACACUUUCAAUCAUUAUAGGAAGUUUGAUGUCGUUGUAAAUGACAAAAUUAUUGUCGAAUCAAGUACAAUUCUUGAAAACUAUCUUUUCAUAUAUUAAUAAAUGUUAUGUAAUGAUAAAUUUAAACUUACAUCGAAUUUAAAGAAAUAUUG
rnacentral:lncRNA from 1 species